rnacentral:rRNA from 2 species
UAACGCGUGGGAACCUGCCCUUAGGUUCGGAAUAACAGUUAGAAAUGACUGCUAAUACCGGAUAAUGUCUUCGGACCAAAGAUUUAUCGCCUUUGGAUGGGCCCGCGUUGGAUUAGAUAGUUGGUGGGGUAAUGGCCUACCAAGUCGACGAUCCAUAGCUGGUCUGAGAGGAUGAUCAGCCACACUGGGACUGAGACACGGCCCAGACUCCUACGGGAGGCAGCAGUGGGGAAUAUUGGACAAUGGGCGAAAGCCUGAUCCAGCAAUGCCGCGUGAGUGAUGAAGGCCUUAGGGUUGUAAAGCUCUUUUACCAGGGAUGAUAAUGACAGUACCUGGAGAAUAAGCUCCGGCUAACUCCGUGCCAGCAGCCGCGGUAAUACGGAGGGAGCUAGCGUUGUUCGGAAUUACUGGGCGUAAAGCGCACGUAGGCGGCUUUUCAAGUCAGGGGUGAAAUCCCGGGGCUCAACCCCGGAACUGCCCUUGAAACUGGAUGGCUAGAAUACUGGAGAGGUGAGUGGAAUUCCGAGUGUAGAGGUGAAAUUCGUAGAUA